rnacentral:rRNA from 1 species
CCUACGGGUGGCAGCAGUGAGGAAUAUUGGUCAAUGGACGAGAGUCUGAACCAGCCAAGUAGCGUGAAGGAUGACUGCCCUAUGGGUUGUAAACUUCUUUUAUAUGGGAAUAAAAUGUUCCACGUGUGGGAUUUUGUAUGUACCAUAUGAAUAAGGAUCGGCUAACUCCGUGCCAGCAGCCGCGGUAAUACGGAGGAUCCGAGCGUUAUCCGGAUUUAUUGGGUUUAAAGGGAGCGUAGGUGGAUUGUUAAGGCCGUUGUGAAAGUUUGCGGCUCAACCGUAAAAUUGCAGUUGAAACUGGCAGUCUUGAGUACAGUAGAGGUGGGCGGAAGUCGUUGUGUAGCGGUGAAAUGCUUAGAUAUCACGAAGAACUCCGAUUGCGAAGGCAGUUCACUGGACUGCAACUGACACUGAGGCUCGAAAGUGUGGGUAUCAAACAGGAUUAGAUACCCCAGUAGUC